GUGUUCACUUUGGAAGCACAUAUAACAAACUGGAAUUAUAUAGAGAAGAUUAGCAUGUCCUCUGUGCAAGGAUGACACAUAAAUUUGUGAUAUGUUUCAUACUUUU
ensembl:snRNA U6 U6 spliceosomal RNA